ensembl:ncRNA ZK836.10 ncRNA
UUUUUAUGGGUAGUAACAAAUUAGAUAACGAAUUAGACAAUUAGAGCUUGCAAAUCUUGGAUCUAAAAAUGAUGAAUUUUAUGUCAAUUCAGAGAAGAAAAGGCGAAUAGUCUAUAAUCAAACAGAAACAAUAAUGUU